rnacentral:rRNA from 1 species
CCUACGGGUGGCAGCAGUCGAGAAUCAUUCACAAUGGGGGAAACCCUGAUGGUGCGACGCCGCGUGGGGGAAUGAAGGUCUUCGGAUUGUAAACCCCUGUCAUGUGGGAGCAAAUUAAAAAGAUAGUACCACAAGAGGAAGAGACGGCGAACGCUGGGCCAGCAGCCGCGGUAAUACAGAGGUCUCAAGCGUUGUUCGGAACCACGGGGCGUAAAGCGGGCGUAGGCUUUUUCGUAAGUCGUGUGUGAAAGGCGCGGGCUCCACCCGCGGACGGCACCGGAUACUGCGAGACUAGAGUACUGGAGGGGGAACCGGCCUUCUCGGUGUAGCCGU